CUGACCUUCAACCCCAGCAGAGCGCCGGCUUCUUUCGGCAUGGAUGCGCUCCUCUUGCUUAAGGUGAUUCUGCCAAUCAGAUGGUCACCCUCCUUCGAUGGCUGCCAGGUUACAGGAUGCUGCAAGAUAAAACAAAAACGAGGGCCCUCAGUCGUGAGGGAUGCCCUCUGCAACAUCUUCAUGUAACCGUCCGCCGUUUGACGACCCUGCAUUACCUGAAGCUCCAGUGUUCUACUGAAUGAAAAAGCCCCCCGGAUCAUAAUGGAACCCCCCUCCACUGUGCCAGUGUUCAGAUUCCGGGUUUCCCGAGUUUCCCGGCAGAAGUCUGCGAGAGCACACCAGAACUGUGCUCCUCUUUGCCUCUCCUCAGCGGAGUUCCGGCAUGUGUUUGAUCAUCAGAUCAUGAUCAGUGAGGGAGCAGGAGGCUAGCGGCCAUCACCUCACCGUGCGUCACAGCGCUUCAUCGGUGGCAGACCACUCCAUCUCCUGCCGGAUCUUGGCGUGGGAGAGCAGCUGGAAUGAGAAAGCCUUGCAAUGUGUCUAUUUGGCAAGCCUCAAUGCACUCCUGCAGGAUGAAUUGGCCCGGGAUGAGACCCGUACCUUGGAGAUCUACAUCCACUUCGAAAACCACCUGCUCUUCCUCCACCACGGCUGACCUUGACUUCACCUCUCAGGGCACUUCCGGAUCCACUCCUCCCUUCGUCCAGCAUCAAAACAGUGGUGCCCAUGCAACUCGGAGGCAGCUGAGAGGAACCGUAGCCAGGUUUCCAUCUAUUCCUGUACCGUGGGGAGGCGGGGCACAGCAUCUCGACCUGCCCGGUUCGUCCUACAAGUUGUUGCUCGUCAUCCACGGGAGACACGCCAAGGGGAGGCCCCCUCCCUCAUUACUCAGUCUGCUGGCUCAUUAUCGUUGGUUGGACGUCUUCAAAUAGAAGGUACUCUUUCUUGGUCGGGGAAGAAAGAGGGGAAGUGUUCUAUCCAUGCACUCAUUGACUCUGGGGCUGAGCUUUGUCCCUUCGGCCCCAUCAUCCUUGUGACUGCGCCAUUGAUUUGUUGCCGGGAUCUCCGUUCUCUUCCGGCUUUAGAAUAUUUCUCAACCCAAACAACAACGUUGGAGGAAUAUUUCUCAUCCGCCCUGGCCACUGGUCACAUCCGUCCUUCGUCCUCUCCUCUUGCUGCUGUUUUUUUGUCAAGAAAAAAGGUUCCCUUUUGUCAGUCUCCUGAGGCAGACCGAGCCUUAAACACGUUUUUACAUCUGCACCAGUGCUUGUUCAUCCUAACUCUUCUCUCCCAUUUUGGGGCCCAUGCUUUCCCAGCACUCCACUGCUGAUCAGAAGCUGCACCCCUGCGCCUGAGGAAUUAUGACAACCGAGAGUGGAGACACUGGCUGAAGAGCAAGUCACACCCUUUUGUUAUCUACACAGACCUCCAAAACCUCUCCUACAUUCGUUCUGCCCAGCGCCUUAAUCUCGCCAGUCAGAAGGUUUGAUUUCUGCAUUACCUUUGGCAAUGGUUUCCGAAAUUGAAAGCCUGAUGCCUUGUCCAGGAUGUCUUCUCCAGCGGUGGAGGAUUCCAUCCCUGAGACCAUCCUUCUUCAGUCUCGGAUCCUGACGGCCCUGCGGUGGAAAGUCGAGAGGCAUGUGGCGGGGGGCCUCCAAGGAUUCGCUUCCUCCUGCCGCCUGACCCCCUGGCUGCCUCAUUGUCCCAAAAUCCCUUUGCUCAAAAGUCCUGGUCUCAUUGUUCCAAGAUUGCCUGUCACCCAGGAACCAGGUGACGUUCCUCCUUGCUCAGCGUUUAUGGUGGCCAACCCUCCAUGCAGACUCCAAGAGCUUUGUGACGGCUUGCUCCGACUGUGCUUCACCCCCAACCGAUCCCUUCCUGUCUGUGGUUACACAUUUCAUUGGACUUUAUAUUUUAUCGGCCCUUUACCAGGGCCACACUAUCCCGCACCUCCAGGCAUAAUCAAAGGCUAACCACCACCGCAAGCCAGCUCCUACUUACUUACUCCUACUUGUCAUCUCGGGAUGUUUCCCUGGCGCUGGAAUCUAAGAAGCUGGUGCCCAGAUUCAUUGGUCCCUAUGAGGUGGAGUGGCCAGCCUGGUUCCUCUGCAGUCCGUGCAUAGCUCCACCUAACUGUUGAGGUCGACGCAUCGAGAGCAUCUUCGGACGACUUGCCACAUCUGGAGGGAGACGUGUGGAGGUGUGGCUAUCGUCCCGGGACUUCCAACAGAAAGUUGGCACCCAUAUUCGUGGGACCAUACACCACAGACUCCAUCGUCAGUCCAACCUCCAUCAAGCUCUGCUGCCACCCCUACACACACCUGGGUUCAAUCAGCCAUCCUACUUAAGCCCUGCUCACAGCUGCACUAAUUGCCAGAUUGUCCCUCAAGCUUCCACGGUCCUUGUCAGCUGCUCGUCUUCCGCCAUGCACAUGCACCUACUGUUCCCUUGCUUUCUGGCUUUUAUCAUUGUAUUAGUGAGUACUUGCCGUCGGUUUAAGCCACGGUGUUUUGCUGUUUUCAGUUUUGCCUGUUGACCUUUUGUCAGCUGUGUUUUUUGUUACGCAGCCUAGUUUUUGCCUGUAUGCCUUUUGAUGCAGUGUUUUCAGUUUUUGUGUACACCAUUGUGUUAGAGCCCCUGUUGCCACCUUUGUAAAAGCCAUAGCAUUUCAGUAUGUGGAAUCAAACUAUGGAAUGGAUUGAGUAAGGAAGUCAAACAAUGCACAACGAUGAGCCAAUUCAAGAAACAAUACAAGCAGUUGAUGUUUGCUAAAUACAAGGAUGAAGAGUCUUGAACCAGUCAUGAUGUGCUAUAUAUAUCACUAUAUUGACACUUACUAUGGUACCCAUUAUGUCAUUGGAUGCUCAUAUCACCUCGUACUUCGGUAGGAGGUACAUUAUUUAAAAAAUAAAAAUAAAAAAAACCCAUUAAACUGUAUUAUGGAAAGCAGGAAGUGAACAAAUGUAACAGUUACUGAUUGUAAAAGUACCAGAUGGAGGGGUAGGAUUUAAUAACAUUGCUUCUUCCUACUCCUUUUGGACAUGUGGAACUGUGAACUGAUUAUGGGAUGCACUCAAUUGUAA